GUUGGCGUUAUGGGAGAAUGACGAGGGGAAGGCGUCAUGAGCACUACCUGUGGAACCUUGAUAUUAUUGGUGUGCCUGAAGUCGCGGCAUCACAGAUAAAUGCACGCAGGCUGAUAUUGGUGGGAAGUUCAGAGUGGCAAAGAGGUAUGGUUGGUGUAAAAAUCCUCUCCUCCGAUGAACAAUAUGAGAUCAAACUUGAUGAACUGGAGUGAUAGAUUUGGCUGUUUUAGAGGCUUGUAGUUUGUAUAUUAUUCUUGAUGAACUAAAAUAUUUUCUGGUUUGUUUACAUCCCAUCUUUUAUUUAUUGCUUAUGUUUUUUUCUCAUAGAGAUGUUGGCAAUAUAAAAUCAAAACUUCCA